UACGUAUGGUGCAAGCGUUAUCCGGAUUUACUGGGUGUAAAGGGAGCGCAGGCGGCGCGGCAAGUCCGAUGUGAAAACCCCCGGCUCAACCGGGGGACUGCAUUGGAAACUACCGGGCUGGAGUGCCGGAGAGGUAGGCGGAAUUCCUGGUGUAGCGGUGAAAUGCGUAGAUAUCAGGAGGAACACCAGUGGCGAAGGCGGCCUACUGGACGGUGACUGACGCUGAGGCACGAAAGCGUGGGGAGCAAACAGG
rnacentral:rRNA from 1 species